GUGGGGAAUUUUGCGCAAUGGGGGAAACCCUGACGCAGCAACGCCGCGUGGAGGAUGAAAUCCCUUGGGAUGUAAACUCCUUUCGAUCGGGACGAUUAUGACGGUACCGGAAGAAGAAGCCCCGGCUAACUUCGU
rnacentral:rRNA from 1 species